ACCCCAAGGCCCCAGGCCCAACAUUAGGAAAACUAACCCCUGUGCCCUGAAGCUGCAAGAUGUUCCCUCACCCAACCCCCAUGUCAAAACCCCUCCAGCAGCAUGUAGCACCUCAGGUGUUGCACAAUGUUACCACAAGAUGUUCCAUGUAGAUAACCCUAACGGGCCCCCUAUCACAAGAUGUUCCUUUUAGACAGUCCUACUGGUUAAACUUGAGAACUAGGUUUAAAAACAGGAACUGAAAGGACAGAAUGCAAUUUUAUGGUUUUUCUGAGAACAAAAAGUUGAAAAACAAGUUUACCCCCCUAGGUGACUCAACUGCUGAAUUCAGAGGGACCAAUAGGAAGGCUGUUGCUGUGCUAAGCUAAGACCUAACCCACCUGUUCCAUAUAAAAGAUCUAUACCCCAAAGCCCGGUGUGCCAGCUCAUCGAAGCUCCGGCUGAGGUUUUGCUGUGCACCCGCAGGCGCCUGUGUGAGAAUAAACGCCUCCUGCUUUUUGCAGCCAGUGUCUCGUGUGGUUCAUUCCGGGUUUGGGAUCUGUGGAUAUUUCAUUGUGGAGGUUCCACCGAGAUCCAAGAUCCCGGUUCCGGUUCGAUCCCGGUCCCUAUCCGGAGGACACCCGACAUCACUGGGAGGUAAGCUGGCCAGCUCAAACUGACUGUCUUGUUGUCCUGUUGGUUAUCUGUUCUUUGUUCCGCGCAGCGUCUGUAAGACUAUAUGAUCCUAGGCAUAGUCAUUUAGUAUUCUGAGUAUUCUGAGGCAGUUCUGUCAUUUAGUAUUCUGAGGCAGCUUGAGAAGGAGUUGACGAACUCGGACUUCUCCCCUGCCACCCUGGGAGACGUCCCAGGGAUCAGAAGGGUCCAUUUCUUUGGGGCCCCCGGUGUUUCCGAGGGUUACACCAUUUUUGUAGGCGACAAAGAAGUACAAACUUCUCCCAGGCCAUCUGAUUUGUUCGGUUUCCACCGAAGCCGCGCAGCGAUCUCACUGUUUGGUUUCGUUUUUGUGUCAUUGUGUCUGUCUCUCUAUUUCCUCUCUGAGAAUAACAUGGGACAAUCACUAACAACCCCUUUGAGCCUAACUCUAGAUCAUUGGCAAGACGUUCAAGAUCGGGCAGACAACCUGUCCGUGACAGUCAAAAAGAAAAAAUGGGUAACACUCUGUACCACGGAGUGGCCAAUAUUGGCCCACCCUCGAAGUUAAAUGGCCCCCAGGAGAGUCCCUCCAUCUCUCUCUCUAAUUUGCAAAGUCAGAGAUUGUCUUUCAGCCGGGGCCGCAUGGCCAUCCAGAUCAUGGCUUUUAACCUUUCAGGACCUCUGCGAAUCCCCUCCUGCAUGGGUGGGAUCCACGCAGUCCGCCGGGAGGAUUCCACCCGGCGGUAUGGCGGAUCUGUCCCGUCCCUGUUCCUCCCGGCCCCUCCACCCCAGGAAGCGAACGGGUCUUCCUGGAGUCGGGCUGCUUGGAAAUGCAGCCCAAGGCGGAUGAUAAAUUCUAUCUAAGGCUAAAUACUGAGACUAGGGAAGCAAUGUUUUCUUCCCCCCCCCAUAACCGGCUUGAGUGCAAAUAGAGAUGCCUGCUGGGGAUUUAACAGCUUUGACAUCUCGCUUUGACUUUUCUCAAAGCCCUGUCCUCAUUAUUAAAUUAAUGUUAAUUGGCUUUAGAGAUGGGAACCAAAUUUUCAGUCACAAAUUUUGACACUCUCAAGGGGACUUUUAAGGAGUUCCCACUCUGCUUUCUUGGGGAAGCCUAGCACUUGAAACAACUGCAAGCAGAGGAUGGACUUUUUGGGAGCUGGCUACUAACAAGUUAGAAAAAAAAAAAAAUACCUAAACUAAAGGAACUGAUCCUGUGGGUGAAAGAUAGGAUUAAGGGACUCCCAGCAGCUGCCAGAGCCAUUUAGCUCUGGGGAGUUCCCUGGGUCCUUAUCUACAUCUUAAGGAUCUGUUUACUUAAUCUCUGUUUACUUAAAAAAAAAAGGGACACUGAAUGCAAUAAAGCCAGUCACACUGAGACCCUUGAUUUUACACCUAUAGUUGCCCCUACGUGAAAACAUCUGGUCCACUCAUAGGAAAGUCUAUGGUGCCACUGAUAAAAGUCAUAAUUAAAUGAAAGUUCAAAACCUGGAGAGAUAUUUUCUUAUCUGGUUGUCUGAUUGUUUCUUAGAGAUAAUCUAGGUUAAAUGUGUGUCUAAAAAAAAAAAUAAUAAUAAUAAUAAUAAUUUUUUAUUGUAACAAUCUGGUAUCUGAAUGGGUUUCUAAAGCAUUGCACUAUCUUGCAGUUAAAAGUUGGGUUUAAACAAUUGUUUAGUUUGAUUUCAGAUAGUUCAUGCUAGAAAACUUAAAUACUUGGGAUAAAAAAUUUUAAAAGUUUCAAUUUUGAACUGGGUAGCCUGAAAAAAAAAAAAAUUAAAAAUAGAUCCAAAUAUCUUUAAUUCACGUGAUUCAAACGGUUCAAUUUAGAUUGGGUAAACAGAUAAAAGUAAAGAUGUCCUCAAAAUUAAGCUUAUAAGUUUCUCUAGGUGUUCAAAAAGGCCCUAAUAAAAUGUUAACUCUGCUUAAAUUUAAAAGUUUACAAGUAUUGUUUCAAAAUGUGAACAAAAAAAAAAUUUAUGUAAUUAUGGUGUUAUUAAUGUGUUCAUAUCUUCCAGGUAUACAAGUCUGUAAGACUCAUUUGCAUGCUUUGCAAUUGGUCCAGAACGAGGUCUGGAAGCCUCUAGCCGCAGCAUACAAAGAGGAACUUAAAACCCCCUUGCUGCCACAUCCCUUCAAGGUCGGAGAUACCGUCUGGGUACGCAGGCACCAGAGCAGGAACCUCGAACCGCGGUGGAAAGGACCCUACACUAUCCUGCUGACCACUCCUACUGCACUCAAAGUGGACGGCAUCGCUGCUUAGAUCCAUGCUUCCCACGUGAAGACUGCACAUCCACAGGAGUCCGCAGACACCUCUCCGGAUCCAGAAUGGAAGUUGCAACGUACCCAAAAUCCGCUAAAGAUAAGACUCACUCGCUGUUAAUUUUUCUUGCUUUGUGCUGUGUCUUCCCCAUAUCAGUUAACCCCAACCAAUCUGUGAGCCAGACAUGACAAGUAUUAUCGGGGACAAAAAAUAUAAUUUAAAAAAAAAAAAAAAAAAACAAAACAGGAUCCCCCACUUUCUGCCGACUCUUGCAGGAGCCUGAAAUGGUACGGGGCAGGGCCAUGUACCGCAUUUGCCUGCAACCCCUUAAACAUUACCUUUACUCAGGCAGGCAAAGCAUCAAAAGAUUGGAUAAAAAAAAAAAAAACAAUGGGGCCUGAGAGUAUAUCAUAAAACUGCCUAUGACCCUGGGGUCCUAUUCAAAAUUAGAUUAAUAGUAAAUACCAACCCCCAACCAGUAUGCUGAGCCGUCAGCUAAAAUAAUGCUGGAAUCCGAGCAGAUGGGUCAAUGGAUAUAAGAUUAUAUCCAUGAUAUAAAAAAAAAAGGGGGGAAUGAAGGACCCCAAGGCCCCAGGCCCAACAUUAGGAAAACUAACCCCUGUGCCCUGAAGCUGCAAGAUGUUCCCUCACCCAACCCCCAUGUCAAAACCCCUCCAGCAGCAUGUAGCACCUCAGGUGUUGCACAAUGUUACCACAAGAUGUUCCAUGUAGAUAACCCUAACGGGCCCCCUAUCACAAGAUGUUCCUUUUAGACAGUCCUACUGGUUAAACUUGAGAACUAGGUUUAAAAACAGGAACUGAAAGGACAGAAUGCAAUUUUAUGGUUUUUCUGAGAACAAAAAGUUGAAAAACAAGUUUACCCCCCUAGGUGACUCAACUGCUGAAUUCAGAGGGACCAAUAGGAAGGCUGUUGCUGUGCUAAGCUAAGACCUAACCCACCUGUUCCAUAUAAAAGAUCUAUACCCCAAAGCCCGGUGUGCCAGCUCAUCGAAGCUCCGGCUGAGGUUUUGCUGUGCACCCGCAGGCGCCUGUGUGAGAAUAAACGCCUCCUGCUUUUUGCA